AAAUGGAAGGAGAUUCUAAGCUGCAGAAGCUGCUGACUGGAGUGAAAACAGCAAAGGAUGCUGAAGAAGAGGAGUUAUCAUUGGUGAAGAGGGUGUGGAAUGAGAGCAAAGUGAUGUGGAUUGUGGCAGGUCCAGCUAUUUUCACAAGAUUCUCCACUUUUGGUAUCAAUGUUAUUAGUCAAGCAUUUGUUGGUCAUAUUGGAUCAAGGGAACUUGCUGCUUUUGCUCUUGUUUUCACUGUUCUCAUCAGAUUUGCUAAUGGUGUUCUGUUAGGAAUGGCCGGUGCAUUGGCAACACUCUGUGGACAAGCAUAUGGUGCAAAAGAGUAUGGCAUGAUGGGAGUGUAUCUUCAAAGAUCAUGGAUAGUUUCAUUUUUAGUUGCACUCGUUCUUCUUCCGGUCUUCAUCUUCACGACCCCAAUUCUGACCCUCCUAGGCCAAGAAGAAAGCAUAGCGCAAGUGGCUGGAACCAUUUCCCUCUUGAUGAUUCCUGUCAUGUUUUCUUUCAUUGUCUCUUUCACUUGCCAGCAAUUCCUGCAAUCUCAAAGCAAGAACAACAUCAUCGCGUUCAUGGCAGCUUUCUCAUUAACUAUUCAUGUGAUCCUCUCUUGGCUUUUGACAAUAAAAUAUAAGUUUGGGAUUGUUGGUGCUUUAUCCUCAACAAGUUUAGCAUUCUGGAUUCCCAACAUUGGUCAACUUAUUUUUGUCACUUGUGGUUGGUGCCCUGAAACAUGGAAAGGUUUCUCAUUUUUAGCAUUCAAAGAUCUUUGGCCUAUUUUCAAGCUCUCUCUUUCAUCCGGUGCCAUGUUAGCGCUUGAGCUAUGGUACAACACAAUUUUGGUUCUAUUAACAGGCAACAUGGAAAAUGCAGAGGUUGAAAUUGAUGCUCUAUCCAUAUGUCUCAACAUCAAUGGAUGGGAAAUGAUGAUAUCUCUUGGUUUCCUGGCUGCAGCAAGUGUUAGAGUGGCAAAUGAGCUUGGAAAAGGAAGCUCCAAAUCUGCAAAGUUCUCUGUAGCUGUAUCAGUGCUAACAUCCUUCACCAUUGGCUUCGUUCUCUUCUUAUUCUUCUUGUUUUUUAGAGAAAAACUUGCUUAUAUAUUCACCAAAAAUCAAGAUGUGGUCAAUGCUGUUGGGGACUUGUCACCUUUGUUGGCAGUUUCUAUACUUCUUAACAGUGUCCAACCAGUGCUCUCAGGUGUUGCUCUGGGAGCAGGGUGGCAAAGCACUGUAGCAUAUGUGAACUUAGGGUGUUACUACAUCAUAGGUCUUCCUGUAGGAAUUGUUCUUGGUAAUGUUUUCCAUUGGCAAGUCAAGGGUAUCUGGAUUGGAAUGUUGUUUGGAACACUUGUUCAAACCAUAGUGUUAGUCAUAAUCACUUACAGAACUGAUUGGGAGGAGCAGGUAACUAUAGCUCGUAAUCGAGUUAACAGGUGGUCUAAGGUGGAACCUGAUCAUAUAUCAGAUAAUUAGUUUCAAGCCUCGUCCUAGUGCAAAAUUUGGAAACAGCACAACUCUGAAUUUUUUUUGAUUCGUAUUACUAAUGUUAUAUUGGUUGAUUGAUAGAUUUUGUGGAAGGAAUAAGGCUGGAAAGGAAAAGGAACGGAAAAGAAAUCUUUUUCUGUUUGGAAAAGACAAGAAAAUGGAGGGGGAGGGAAGUAGGAGGGUGAAUAGUGUUAAAUUCUUUUUCCGCACACCAAUGAGAGGAAAACAGGCUGGGGAACGUGACUUUCAUAUUAGACAAUAAUAACUUUCUAAUAUUAUACACUACUACCAUUUCUCUCUCUCUCUUGUGUACUAGUAAUAUUGUUU